rnacentral:rRNA from 1 species
AUUGAACGCUAGCGGGAUGCUUUACACAUGCAAGUCGAACGAGUGGCGGACGGGUGAGUAAUAUAUCGGAACGUGCCCAGUAGCGGGGGAUAACUACUCGAAAGAGUGGCUAAUACCGCAUACUAUUUGAGCGGCCGAUAUCGGAUUAGCUAGUUGGUGGGGUAAAGGCUCACCAAGGCAACGAUCCCUAGCUGGGUUGAGAGGACGACCAGCCAAACUGGAACUGAGAAACGGCCCAGACUCCUACGGGAGGCAGAAGUGGGGAAGUGUGGACAAUGGGUGAAACCCUGAUCCAGCCAUCCCGCGUGUAUGAGAAGGCCUUCGGGUUGUAAAGUACUUUUGGCAGAGAAGCGGUAUCUGAAGAAUAAGCACCGGCUAACUACGUGCCAGCAGCCGCGGUAAUAC